UGCAGGCAGUUGUGUUGACCUGUCUAGCUACCAUUUCUUUCUGUUUCUGCAGUUCUCAUCUUCCUUGGUAGCAGGUCUUUGGUAAGGAUAAUGAUUUCUUGGCCUCACAAAAUCAAGCCACUGCUAAAUACUUUGCAUUACAGAAAGGAUAUUAUCCCAUUAUAUUACGUUGUUGCUGGAAUUUUUUAUUUCCCUUCCAGGAACCAUGGAAAAUCACAACAGAAGAGAUGUCAUCAAAAAGUCUCAGAUCUUUAACCCUGCAAGUCCUGCUUCCAGUAUAACUCUUCUCCUCUUCCUGCACCCAACCAGGUUGAGGGCAAAGUAUAUUUGCACUCUGAACUCAGUUUGCAGCCAUUGAGGUAAGGUGAGGAGAAAGGAGGAAGGUGGGAAGAGGAGAAAGAAACUAAGCCAUUUGAAAGCAACUGAAAAGCACAUAUGAAGAAAAACCAAAUUCCUUCCCACUGGCAUCAUUUGAGAAUGACAUCACUGAAACCAAGGGACGUGGGUGAGAUUUAUGCCAAUGACAAUUUCUGGCCAUACAGGACUUCAUAACUCUUUUUUUGUGUGGAUCUGAUUGUCGUUCAACUGCUGUUUUUCCCCACUGGACUGCAGAUGGGAUAUCGUCUCAAACGUCUCAAGUGUGAUUGAUUGUAAUGGGAAUAGCACAUGUACACUGGUUCUUUGUCCUCUCUAUGACUUGUUUUGUCAAUUCCUGUGGCCAUUGAUAUUUGGGAAAGAAAACUAUUCAAUUCAAUGGAA